rnacentral:lncRNA from 1 species
AGUAUUCUAUUUUUUGUUCUCUGAAAUGAUAGGUUUAUUACAAAGGUCAGCUGGGAAGAGCUACCGCUUUAAGUGUAACUCCUGAAAUGGAAAGAGUGAAGAAGAAUCAAGAAAAUAUUAGCUCGGUAAAAUAUACCCAGGACCAUAAACAGAUGAAAGGUAGACCAAGUCUGAUUUCAGAUACACCUGCUAUGAGACAUGUUAAAGAAGCACAAAAUCAUAUUUCAAUGGUAGGGUCCAACCAGAUCAUUCUUAAAACAUGCUAAGGAAUGGCCGGAUCCAGUGCAUGGAUGGCAUUACUUCACUAUCAAUCCGAUAACUAACAAAGCAUGGAAAUGUGGUUGGCUUGUCUUUUGAGGGAGGGGCA